rnacentral:rRNA from 1 species
CCCUUAGAUGUUCUGGGCUGCACGCGCGCUACACUGAUGCACUCAACGAGUUUACGAGCUUGUCCGAGAGGAUUGGCUAAUCUUUUUAAAAUGCAUCGUGAUGGGGAUAGAUUAUUGCAAUUAUUAAUCUUCAACGAGGAAUUCCUAGUAAGCGCGAGUCAUCAGCUCGUGCUGAUUACGUCCCUGCCCUUUGUACACACCGCCCGUCGCACCUACCGAUUGAAUGGUCCGGUGAAGCCUCCGGAUUGGCGCGCACCUCGGUGCCGCCGAGAAGUUGGCUAAACCUUACCAUUUAGAGGAAGGUGAAGUCGUAACA